ensembl:lncRNA
GGAGACUCGAGAUGAACACGCUCCAGACGCAGGAACGCGAUGAUAAUUCCGGAGGUCGCGGUCGCGGACAGAACGGGGAAGUGAAGAAGGAAAACCACUUCCUGCUUCUUCUUCUUCUGCUGCUGCUGCUGCUUUCCACCAAUCAGGCAAGCUGAGGCAGCCGCGCUGUGAUUGGACCUCCAGACGCCGGUGUCUCCCCCCUGCUGCCCCGUGUGCCCAGCACAGACGCCCCUCCUGGGGCACGACGGCCAGCUGGAGACACCUGCGGGCUGGACGAGCCCUGGAGGAAAGCCUUGAGGAUCUGAGACUUGGUGUACAGGUUCACUGCUCCCUGAGGGAAAAGGCAGGUCCAGGAUCAGUGAGAACGUAGAAUCAACAAGACCUUGAUGUGACCUCCUCGAUACUCGUAUGGAUACCGGCAGUC